UACGUAGGGUGCAAGCGUUGUCCGGAAUUAUUGGGCGUAAAGAGCUCGUAGGCGGUUUGUCGCGUCUGCUGUGAAAACUCGGGGCUCAACUCCGAGCUUGCAGGUGGGUACGGGCAGACUAGAGUGCGGUAGGGGAGACUGGAAUUCCUGGUGUAGCGGUGAAAUGCGCAGAUAUCAGGAGGAACACCGAUGGCGAAGGCAGGUCUCUGGGCAUUAACUGACGCUGAGGAGCGAAAGCGUGGGGAGCGAACGGAUAGAUA
rnacentral:rRNA from 1 species